rnacentral:lncRNA from 1 species
GACACACAAGGAAUGGAGAGGAAAGAAUGCCAUCAGAAGAAUAUCUUCAGAGAAUUGCACAAUAAAGAGUAAUGUUAUGAAGAAGACUUGAGCAGGCAGUCCAGAGCUGAUACAGCUGCUCCAAUCACCAGAGAUGCAAUCUCCUGCUAGAUGUCUUCACAUCUACCUUUCUAUGUCACAUGUGCAAGAUGGUUGCUCUGCCUUCAGACAUCACAUUUACAUUCCAGGCAGAAAGGAGAAGGAAAGAGCAAAAGAUGUGUUCCGAACAAAUCCAUCUUAAAAACAAACAAGGGGAGGGGUAGCAGGAGAAAAUUUAAAAAGAAGAAGAAGAAAAACAAAAACAGGAAAGCCGUUGUUUCCCUAAAAGCCCCAUCAAGCCGACUUCUACCGGUGACUCAUUACCCAGUCAUGUGGCCACCCCUGGAUUCAAGGCAGUCUGAGGAGGUGAGUGUUUCAAAGAGGCACAUGGAUGCCACAGACAAAAUCAAGUUUCCAUGGUUGAAGGAGAAGAGGACGAUAGAGUUUGGGGAGGCAGCAGGCUACGUCUGCCACAGAAGAUAUAAAGAUAUGGAGCCACACGAGAAGAUGGGGGAGGCUGCCAAAAAAGUCCACUGGGUACAGGUGAGGAGCAGGUGACAUUGGAGUUGCUCCAUCUGAGGAGCCCGCACCUGCAAUGGCUUGUGCUCCUGCUCCUGUGGGUAUAGGCACAAGGCUGAUGCCGAGAGAGUGAGUUGUUUCUGUUGGGGUUCAGAACACAAUACCCCAAAGUAUGGCGAUGAGUACUUAACUAAAGGACAUUGGAAGGCCUCAGAAGCAGCCUCAGAUCCAAGGUCCCUCUGACCUGCUCCUGCCCUCCUGUCUCUCUCGUCCCUCGUUCUCCCCUGAAGUGAGUCAUAGAAACCAGAAUCCUCUUCCCCACGGUAGGUCCUAGAAACUAGAACCCUUUUUCCCCGAAGCAAAAGCCAUAAAAACUGGAAUUAUUACUCUAAACUCUCCUUGACUUUUUGUCCAGAAGAUGGCCAUAAAGAAAUUCUCAGCUAGGUGUGGUGGCUCGUAUCUGUAAUCCCAGCACUUUGAGAGGCCAAGGUGGGAGGAUCACUUGAGGCCAGGAGUUUGAGAUCGGCCUGGGCAACAUAGUAAGACCCCCAUCUCUACAAAACUUUUUUUUUUAAACUUACCUAAGCGUGGUGGUACACCUGUAGUCUCAGCUACUUAGGAGGCUGAGGUGGGAGGGACCCUGCUCUGGCUGUGACUGCUUUAUCACAGGGAGUGCCUAUCUGUGGGCUGCUUUCUACACAUUAAAGCAUUUUCAGAAAGGGCCAACAUCAGCCUUGGAAAAAAGGAGGAAGAGCCACGGAGAGUCUCCCUUUAUCUUCCCCUUAUGUGAUGUGAGAGUGCACAUGACUGUGUGCACAUACACACACACACACACACCACACACACACACCCCACAGGCACACAGGGUCAAGAACAUGCUGGGCAGAGCUUAAGCCACUGAAUGUUUCAGUAGGAAUCAUGAUAUCUAAAAAUAGGACAGCUGAUAAGGGGGUUCUUACUACUCACAGUUCCUGGAAUUAUAUGCAAUUGCAUCUUGGAAACUCAACAAAUAAACAGUUAGUAUGGAAUUAAGGAAUUAAGUUUGGUGAAGUUCAAAGAAGCUGAUGUUACUCACAAGAGUAAAUAGAGAGGAAACCGGGCGUGGUGGCUUCACGCCUGUAAUUCUAGCACUUUGGGAGGCCAAGACGAGCAGAUCACUUGAGGUAGAGAGUUUGAGACCAGCCUGGCCAACAUGAUGAAACCCUGUUCUCUACUAAAAAUACAAAAAUUAGCUGGGUGUGGUGGCAGGCACCUGCAAUCCCAGCUACAUGGGAGGCUGAGGCAGGAGAAUCGCUUGAACCCAGGAGACAGGGGUUGCAGUGAGCCAAGAUCACACCACUGCACUCCAGCCUGGGCGACAGAGCAAGACUCCCUCUCAGGAAAGAAAAAAAAAAAAAAAGUAAAUAGAGAGGAAAGCACAGGCCAGGGUAAAGAGCUCCAUGUAGGGCUGGGCGCGGUGGCUCACGCCUGCGGUCCCAGCACUUUGGGAGGCCGAGGCGGGCGGAUCACAAGGUCAUGAGAUCGAGACCAUCCUAGCUAACAUGGUGAAACCCCGUCUCUACUAAAAAUACAAAAAUUAGCCGGGGGUGGUGGGCGCCUGUAGUCCCAGCUACUCGGGAGGCUGAGGCAGGAGAAUGGUGUGAAUCCAGGAGGUGGAGCUUGCAGUGAGCCGAGAUCACACCACUGCACUCCAACUUGGGCAACAGAGUAAGACUCCACCUCAAAAAAAAAAAAAAAAAGAGCUCCAUGUAUGAUUCGUGUAUAAUGCUGCGGGCAUUUGGAGUGCAGCCAACAGCCCCCUUGCAGAGACCCAGUGUUCAUUGUCCCUUCCUUCUUCUAGCAGAACCCCAAUUUUAUUUUGUUUAGCAAAGUUCUAUGCUUUAAAUUUUUUUUUGCCUCAAACUGCCAUGCAGGUAGGAGUGGUGGUGUGGCAUAGGGCUGGCCAAUGAGAUGUUAGCCUAAGUCAUGUAAAGGGGACUUUCAGAAAAGUUCUUUUCUAGGACUGACUCAACUGGCAUGGGCCCCCUUUGCCUUUUACUCUCCCACUUCCUCCAGCCUGAAACAAAACCAUGAUGGUCUGAACUCCAGCCAUCAACUGGAGAGCACUUAAUCACUUUUUCAGUAAAUACAUGCCAGGCCCUGUUUUCAGUUCUAGGAACUUACCAUAAAGAAAACAGAUAAAAAUCUCUGGCUUCAAGGAGCUUACAGUCUAGUGAGAGGAAACAAAUUAUAAGCAAACAAAUAUAUAGUAUUUCAGAAUAUGGUAAGUGUUAAGGAAAAUAAAUUAAGAAAUGAGAUUCUUAUUAUCUUUAGGGACACUCUCACUCCAUCUCCUUCUGUUGCCCACACUAGAGUGCAGUGGUGCGAUCAUAGCUCACUGUAACCUCAAACACCUGGGCUCAAGUGAUCCUCCUGCCACAGCCUCCUGAGUAGCUGGGACUACAGGUGUAUACCACUACAUCUGGCUAAUUUUUUUUUUAUUUUUUAUUUUUGUAGAGACGGAGUCUUGCUACAUUCCCCAGGCUGGUCUCAAGCUCCUGGCCUCAAGUGAUCUUCCUAUCCUAACCUCACAAGGGGCUGGGAUUAUAGGUGUGAGCCACCACACCACCCAGAAAUGAGAUUCUUUUUAUUUUUGUUUGUUUGUUUGUUUGUUUUGAGACAGAGUCUCACUCUGUCACCCAGGCUGGAGUGCAGGGGCACAUUCUCGGCUCACUGCAGCCUCCACCUCCAGGUUCAAGUGAUUUUCGUGCCUCAGCCUCCCAAGUAGCUGGAGUUACAGGAAUAUGCCACUACACCCAGCUAUUUUUUUUUUUUUUUUUUUUUUUAGUAGAGACAGGAUUUCACUAUGUUGGCCGGGCUAGUCUCAAACUCCUGACCUCAAGUGAUCUGCCAGCCUUGGCUUCCCAAAGUGUAGGGAUUAUAGGCGUGAGCCACUGCACCCCGCCCAGAAAUGAGAUUCCUGAUGCUCGAUCAAGUCAGGGUGGUGGCUCAGAAGGCUGGAUGGACCUGGGGGUUGUAAAGGUAGCCAGGGUUUGUUUUAAUCAGGUGUGGCAAGACGUGCAGACACAGGAAUCACUUUCAUGGAGGAAGACAUUUACUCACAGUUCCCUAGAAACAUGCAUGAGGCAUGGCAUGGCGUGCAGGGGUGCCCCAUGGGGAAGCACCUGAGUCAGUCAGGAGGCAGUGGGAGUGAAAGGAAAAUGUGGGCAAGAGCCUUUAUUGUGGUUUCACAGGCAGGAGUGUGCAGGCAGGUAAGCAAGUUCAGGCUCGGCUAGUUUGAAUAAUUUCAGCAGCCUCUGGGGCAUAGGGGCUGUCCCUAGCUCUCUAGUACUGGUCCUGGGCUGACUAGGGGAAUUGCAGCUAGGAGUGGCAGAGCCUGAUGAAGGUGGUGGUUGGGAGGAUGGGGUCUAGCUUGGUUGAUCUACAUAUGACAGGCGAGUUCUUUGCUUCUAGGAAUUAGCUCAACCUGGGAGAGGCAGUCACUCCAGGGUCAGCAAGACCCCACGAUGUGGAAGUAUCAGAAUAUAGAAACUAGAAAACAUGGUUAAUUACACUAGGUUCUUGCCAAUAUUGCUAUGCUAUUAGGAUCCCUGCUCUCACCUCUAGAUUUAUUCUAAAUGCAGAAAAAUUAAACUCUCAAUUUUUUAUGCCACUGUUUUUCAGGUUUCUAUUACUGGUUAGGUGAAUGCCAGGCCUGUACUGAUAAUGAUCCUAAAGAAGACUCCUCUUUCAUACGGCCUAGUAACCGAUUCUCAGAUCUUAUCCAUAUAAAUAGGCUGUUAGUCAAACAAGAAAAAUAGCAAGAUAAGUAACAGAUCCUUCACAGAGUAACUACUCUCAUCUAUGUGCGUGCACACACACACAAACACACACACUAGUGCGAAAAUAAAAUGAUUUUUCACAGACUUUUUCUGAAGAUUGAAGAUUUCAAAACAGUCUGAAAAAAAGUUUCAAAAGUGGUCCUGAAGUUAGCUUUACAUCAAUGCAUUAAAUAUUAACUUUUUUUUUUUUUUGAGAUGGAGUCUCACUCCGUCACCCAGGCUGGAGUGCAGUGAUGCCAUCUCGGCUCACUGCAACUCCUGUCUCCCGGGUUCAAGUGAUUCUGCUGCCUCAGCCUCCCAAGUAGCUAGGAUUACAGGCAUGCACCACCAUGCCUGGCUAAUAUUUUUGUAUUUUUAGUAGAGAUGGUGUUUCACCAUGUUGGCCAGGCUGGUCUCGAACUCCUGACCUCAAGUGAUCCACCCGCUUUGGCCUCCCAAAGUGCUGGGAUUACAGGCGUGAGCCACUGUGCCCGGCCUAAAUAUUAACCUUAUAUGAACAAAAAGAGAAACGAGGAUAUAUGGAGAGAGUAAAAGAGAAGUGAGGCACGGUGAGAAAUUGGGAAGGGAGACCUGAGCCUUUGUCUAUAGCGAAGGUUGAAAAUUCAGCCACCUGCAGGGGCAAAGCAGAAAAUGCAAAUGAGGUAGCAGGCUUGGGAUAAGAAAGACCUGGCUCUUGUUCUCUGUUUUCCCUUUUUUCAGUAAAGAUAUAGGUAGAAACUAAAAUUUGUCUGCUAGAGGAAAAAAUAACUACUCAAGCUAAAUAAUAAAUGCCAAUUGGCACUUUCCCUCAGUGUUAAGGAGGCCAGGAGGCAUGGAGUGGGCACUGGUGAACAGAGUGGGGCAGCCACCGCCCAGCUCCAUCAACUGUUACUAGCAAUCGGUGUAGGUCGCAUGAUGCCAGAUAGCCUGAUUUUUUUUUAAGCUGUAAAACUGGGAUUUCUGUUUAGAGACCGGGUCUCACCCCAGUCUGGAGUGCAAUGGCACUAUCAUAAAACACUGCAGCCUGGAACUCCUGGGCUGAAACAAUCCUCCCUCCUCAGCCUCUCAAAUUAAAUUGUAGGUGUGAACCACCACACCCAGCUGAUUUUUAUUAUUUUUUGUAAAGACAGGGUCUCACUGUGUUGCCCAUGUUGCCCAGGAUAAAAUCUGGAUUUUUAUGUGAAAUCUCCAAUUCUUAAUUGUUGAGAUUGAAGACUUUUUUUCUUCUUUUUUUUUGGAGCCAGGGUCUUGCUCUGUCACCCAAGCUGGAGUGCAGUAGCACAAUCAAAGUUUUCUACAGCCUUGACCUCCUGGGCUCAAGCAGUCCUCCCAGCUCAGCCUCCCCAGAAGCUGACUACAGACUACAGGUGUGUAGCAUCAUGCCUGGCUAAUUUUUGUAUUUUUUAUAAAGACGGGGUCCUACUGUGUUGCCCAGGCUGGUCCCAAACUCCUGGGCUCAAGCAAUCCUCCCAACUCGGCCUCCCAAAGUGCUGGAGUUACACGCAUGAGCCACUGCUCCCAGUUCCUGAAGACAAUAUUUUGGAUAAACGUUCUCUUAGCAAAUUAUAUGUUUCUGCAGAGCAGAUACUCAGGCAGUAGGCCAUCGGUUUGCACUUCUAUUAUGCUGAACAAAUGAGAUAGGAAGCUGUUGCAAAGAAAGGAAGGGGAAAAGCAAGGGGCUAGCUGACAGUAAGAAAGACUGGGAGACGGACAAGGAGAGACCCAAGGUGAUGGGAUGAAAAAAGAAGAAAAAAAAAUAUUGAUGAAUGCGAUUGAGAAGAGAUUGGGGGCCGGAUGCAGUGGCUCACGCCUAUAAUCCCAGCAGGCGUGAGGCCAAGGCAGGCGGAUCACCUGGGGUCAGGAAUUCGAGACCAGCCUGGCCAACAUGGCAAAACCCCAUCUCUACUAAAAAUAGAAAAAAAAAGCCAGGCAUGGUGGCAUGUGCCUGUAGUCCCAGCUACUUGGGAGGCUGAGGCACGAGAAUCACUUGAACCCGGACGGCGGCGGAGGUUGCAGUGAGCGGAGAUUACGCCACUGCACUCCAGCCUGGGUGAUAGAGUGAGACUCCAUCUCAAUUAAAAAAAGAAGAAGAGAUUGAGAAAGAAUGAAGAAGAGAGGAAGAAAACACUGGGGCUCAGAAAACAAUACCCCAAAGUGUGGCACUUUGGCAUGCUGAAUACUUUGAACUAAAGGACAUUGGGAAGACUCAGAAGCAGCCUCGAAACCAAGAUCCCUCUGACCUUCUGCCCCUCCUGUCUCUCGCCCCUCAUUCUCUCCUGAAGUGAGCCACAGAAGCCAGAAUUAGUCCUCCCUAAGGUCAUAGAAACCAGAACCCCUGUUCCCCAAAGCCAGCCAUAAAAACUAGAAUUAUUUCUUCUACUGCUUCCUAAGACAUGACCAUAAAUAAAUAGUCUGACCUACGCUUGUCUAAUGGUGGGCCAUAAUGAGAGGUGACAGCGUGCUGGCAGUCCUCAGAGCCCUCGCUUGCUCUUGCCACCUCCUCUACCUGGGCUCCCACUUUGGCGGCAUUUGACGAGCCCUUCAGCCCACCACUGCACUGUGGGAACCCCUUUCUGGGCUGGCCAAGGCUGGAGCCCACUCCCUCAGCUUGCAGGGAGGUGUGGAGGGAGAGGUGCGAGCGGGAACCGGGGCUGCGAGCGGCGCUUGGGCGCCAGCGGGAGUUCCGGGUGGGCGUGGGCUUGGAGGGCCCCGCACUCAGAGCAGCCGGCCAGCCCUGCCGGCCCCGGGCAAUGAGGGACUUAGCACCCGGGCCAGUGGCUGCAGAGGGUGUACUGGGUCGCCCAGCAGUGCCAGCCCACCGGCGGUGCGCUCGAUUUCUCACCGAGCCUUAGCUGCCUUCCCGCGGGGCAGGGCUCGGGACCUGCAGCCCGCCAUGCCUGAGCCUCCCACCCACUCAAAGGGCUCCUGUGCGGCCCGAGCCUCCCCGACGAGCACCACCCCCUGCUCCACGACGCCCAGUCCCAUCGACCACCCAAGGGCUGAGGAGUGCAAGCACACGGCACAGGACUGGCAGGCAGCUCCACCUGCAGCCCCAGUGUGGGGUCCACUAGGUGAAGCCAGCUGGGCUCCUGAGUCUGGUGAGGAUGUGGAGAGUCUUUAUGUCUAGCUCAGGGAUUGUAAAUACACCAAUCAGCACCCUGUGUUUAGCUCAAGGCUUGUGAGUGCACCAGUCCACACUCUGUAUCUAGUUGCUCUGGUGGAGCCUUGGAGAACCUGUGUGUCCAAACUCUGUAUCUAACUAAUCUGAUGGGGACGUGGAGAACCUUUGUAUCUAGCGCAAGGAUUGUAAACGCACCAAUCAGCACCCUGACAAAACAGGCCACUCGGCUCUACCAAUCAGCAGGAUGUGGGUGGGGCCAGAUAAGAGAAUAAAAGCAGGCUGCCCGAACCAGCAUUGGCAACCCGCUUGGGUCCCUUUCCAGACUGUGGAAGGUUUGUUCUUUUGCUCUUUGCAAUAAGUCUUGCUGCUGUUCACUUUUUUGGGUCCAUGCUGCUUUUAUAAGUUGUAACACUUACUGCGAAGAUCUGCAGCUUCACUCCUGAGCCAGCAAGACCAUGAACCUACCAGAAGGAAGAAACUCCGAACACAUCUGAACAUCAGAAAGGACAGACUCCAGAAGCGCCACCUUAAGGGCUAUAACACUCACCGCGAGGGUCUGUGGCUUCGUUCUUGAAGUCAGUGAAACCAAGAACCCACCAUUUCUGGACACAAUAAGAUCCUCAUUCCAGAGGGGUCCAGUCCCAUACCUGGCUGGCAGAAAUGCUACAACAUAGAGGCCGAGAAGAAUCCGGACAGACAGGCAUUGCUGGAUUCCUCCAGGAGAUCAUACCCUUUCUGUCCCAUAAUGCUUCCACAUGACCAUCCAUUCUUCAUCAACUCUAAGCAUAAAAAAUGAGAAUUUUCCCUGUGGGUCUUAAUUCUUUUCUUUUUCCUUUUUUUUUUUUUUUUUUUUUGAGACGGAGUCUUGCUCUGUCGCCCAGGCUGCAGUGUGGCAGUGUGAUCUCAGCUCACUGCAACCUCUGCCUCCUGUGUUCAAGCAAUUCUCCUGCCUCAGCCUCAUGAGUAGCUGGGACUACAGGUGCAUGCCACCACACCCAGCUAAAUUUUUUUUUUUUUUAGUAGAGACAGGAUCUUACCAUAUUGGACAGGCUGGUCUUGAACUCCUGACCUCAAGUGAUCUGCCCACCUCGGCCUCCCAAACUGCUGGGAUUACAGGCAUGAGCCGCCACAUCCGGCCCCUGUGGGUCUUCAUUCUAAAGGCCACCGUGACACAUAAAACUUGGAUUCAAUAAAUGUUUUUCUCUCAUUAACCUGUCUUUUGUUAGAGGACCGUGGCCGAGACUUUCAUGAUGGAGAGAAAAGGUAUCACAGAAAAGGUAUGCCCUUUUCUGCUUCUAAAAGGGCAAGGAAGAUGGAGAAGAAAGUGAGAAAAAGGAGAUUUGAAGAGAGAGGAGGAAGUGGGCUGCUAUAGGUAGAGGGUGGAGAUUUAAAGUCAUUCUACAGAAAGAGACAGGAAUAUGCAGGCACUGUGGAGAGAACAGUGGCUCUAUAUGGUGAAAGGGAAGCCCACAAGUUUUCCAGCCUUUGGGAUUCUGUGCUAUUAUAAUUUAUAUAUAGGUUUUAGUCCAUGGUUCCUGGCUUAUAAUUCCCAUUGCCCUUGUUACCAUCUGUUGUUGUAAUGUUGGGUGCUUUAAGCCUCAGAAGCAGGUCUCAAUAAACGGAAUCUCUCUGACCUUCUCCUGCCCUCAUUUCAUCUGCUCCUUUAUCUCUCCAAGGCAGGAAUCUUUGCCCAUCUUUCUGUCUUUGACCUACCUUGUCUGACUAUAGGUCAUAAGACUCCCAUUUCAGAAAGGAUGCCCCAUAUCCUGGAGGAAGAAAGGCUGCACAGAGAGGCCAAGAAGAAUCUGGACAGGACUCACUGGGUUUCCCCAGUCUGUCU